rnacentral:rRNA from 1 species
AUGGUGUCAGGAAUGCAACACAAAAAUGCGAUAAGCACAGCCACAGAGGGCUUGAUCCAAGCUCAACUUGGGCUCUACCACCACUCCUUGGGGUACGUGAAGUCUGUGGCGCUCAGGGCUGCCACAGAACUAGGCAUCCCGGAUGCCAUCCAUCGCCACAGCGGUGUCGCCACGUUGUCUGACAUUGCCACCAAAACCGGGAUCCACCCGAGCAAGUACUCCCACCUCCGUUGGCUCAUGCACGCCCUCGCCGCUACCGGCAUCUUCUCGGUCGAAGGCUACGACGAUGAUGCCGGGUACAAGCUCACUCCUGUCUCCAGCAUCCUUGUUGAAGGCGGCGAGAGCAUGUGCAACCUUUCUCCCAUGGUGCGUGUGCUUGUCGAACUGCUGAAGCUGACCAUGCUCUGCAGCAUAAAAGAGUGGUUUACGGACGAGCGGGCGUCAGCCAUGACUCUGUUUGAGGUGGCGCAUGGCUGCACACCGUCGAAGAUGAAAGCCAAGAAGGGCACAUUGGCAUGUUCCAGGCCGCCAUGGUCGCCGACAGCAACCUUGUCAUGGAGGUAG